rnacentral:snRNA from 1 species
GUGCUCACUCCAGCAGCACAUAUACUAGAAUUGGAAUGAUAAGGAGAUUAGCAUGGUCCCUGCACAAGGAUGACACGCAAAUUUGUGAAGUGUUCCAUAUUUUU